rnacentral:rRNA from 1 species
GACGUAGGGUGCAAGCGUUGUCCGGAAUUAUUGGGCGUAAAGAGUUCGUAGGCGGUUACUUAAGUCUGGUGUUAAAGCCCGAUGCUCAACGUCGGCAUGGCAUUGGAAACUGGGUAGCUAGAGUGUGUCAGAGGUUACGGGAAUUCCUGGUGUAGCGGUGAAAUGCGUAGAUAUCAGGAGGAACACCUGUGGCGAAAGCGAGUAACUGGGGCAUAACUGACGCUGAGGAACGAAAGCCAGGGUAUCCAAAGGG